rnacentral:rRNA from 1 species
UGCGUAGGCGGUUUGUUAAGUCAUUUGUAAAAGAUCUCAGCUCAACUGAGUAAAGCGAAUGAAACUGGCAGACUUGAAUACGGUAGAGGUAAGUGGAAUUCCAUGUGUAGCGGUGGAAUGCGUAGAUAUAUGGAGGAACACCAAUGGCGAAGGCAACUUAUUGGGCCGGAAUUGACGCUGAGGCACGAAAGCGUGGGGAGCAAACAGGAUUAGAUACCCUGGUAGUCC